rnacentral:rRNA from 1 species
UACGUAGGGUGCAAGCGUUGUCCGGAAUUAUUGGGCGUAAAGAGCUCGUAGGCGGUCUGUCGCGUCGGAUGUGAAAAUCCAGGGCUCAACCCUGGACCUGCUUCCGAUACGGGCAGACUAGAGGUAUGCAGGGGAGAACGGAAUUCCUGGUGUAGCGGUGAAAUGCGCAGAUAUCAGGAAGAACACCCGUGGCUAAGGCGGCUCUCUAGUACGGUACUGACGCUGAGACGCGAAAGCGUGGGGAGCGAACAGG